AACAACAGACAGUUUGAGGAAACACCUUGGCUUUAGUUUGAUAAAAUUAAUAGAGAAUAAGUGACAGCAAAAUAACAACACGUUGCCUUUAUUUGGCUAUCUGGGUAAUACAAGCUCUAUGGGUGCACAAGUCGGUCGCCAUUUUCUGGUCAGAUGUCACUUCUUGUUUAUAAAUAGCUAUAUAUAUUCACAUAUAUUGCCGAAACAUCAGUCAUGUGUGAAAGUUAUUGCGCGGUAAAGAAUGUAAAAACGUGCGGUUUCGUGAGUGCAGUUAAGUUUAAAGUGUUUGGUAGUAAAGAAUGUGUUGUGCUAUUUUUUGUCUUUCUGGGUCUUUUCUUUUACAUGAGAAAAGUAAAGGCCGAGAAAGACUUCUGUUUCAGAUCCAAUGAAAGCGAACAGAGAUUAAGUAUGAAUCAUAAUUGUUCAUAAUUGCAAUAUAAGAUCAAGAGGUAGUAACGCUUCUUAGAAAUGAUUAGACGUUAUGAUUCAAUAUCUACAGACAGUGAAUGGCAAGAAAUUGAAAAUAUAGCAAACUAUUUAACAAGAGCAUUAAAACAGCAACAGAAAUUUCUGGGAUAGAAUAUCCAACAAUCAACCUUGCACUUUUAUUUAGGUUUGUAAAAUGUUUUUAAAUAUAUAUUUUUUUUAAACUCAAAAUUAGGAAUAGUAUUAUAAAAUGUAUAAAUGUGAAAUUUAUGCAGCUUUUGUAUUUUUACAUUAUAAAAAUUUAUUUUAUAUAAUAAAUUUGAAAGGAAUUUCUAUGUUACAAUGCCGUUACAAUAUAAUUCCUUCUUUAAUCUUUCCAGGGCAGAAAUUGAGAGUAACAUGUGUGUAAAGAAAGAUAAUUGUACAGGAACUUAAAAAUACUAUUUUACAAAAUCUAAAAGAGCGAUUUCCAAUUUACGAAACUUAUGUUGGUGGAACACUUCUAGAUCCGACUUUUCAAAAUGUUAAAGGUGUUGUGGAAUAUCUCGCAGAAAAAUGUAUGUAAUAAUAUAAGCAAAAAGAAAAAAUACCUUUUUUGAUC